rnacentral:tRNA from 1 species
GGAGAGAUGGCCGAGCGGCUGAAGGCACUCGCCUGCUAAGCGAGUAUCCCGGCAAAAACCGGGAUCGAGGGUUCGAAUCCCUCUCUCUCCGCCA